GUUCCCUGUCACCUGCCAUGGUGACUGGUCCCCCAAGCAGGUGCACAAGAACUACCACCAGAACUUGGAGGUCACCGUCAACCACCAGAUCAACUUUGAGCUCAACACUUCCCCAUCUACCUGUCAAUGUCUUGUUAUUUUAACUGCGAUUAUGUGGCUUUGAAAAACUUUGACAAUUUCCUCACCAAUCUCAUGAGGAGAGGGGACAUGCUGAGAAACUGUUGAAGUUGCAGAACCAACAAAGUGGCCAAAUCUUCCUUCAGGAUAUCAAGAAACUAGGCCAUGGCCACUGGGAGAGUGGGCCGAAUGCAACGGCAUACGUUGCAUUUGAAUAAAAGCAUGAAUCAGCUACAAAUGAUCACUGAAAAAAAGAGACCCCAUUUGUGUGGCUUCAUUGAUAUUCAUUACCUGAAUGAGUAGGUAAAAUCCAGUAAACGUGAGUGACCACUGAAACCAGCUUGCAUGAGAUAGGGGCCCUGGAAUCUGGCACGGCCAAGUAUGUCUUCGACAAGCUCACCCUGAGAGACAGUGAUGCUGACAGCUUAACCUUAGGUUGGUUCCCUCAUAGCCAAGGGAGUGACUUCCACCAAGGCAGUGCAUGCAUUUGGGUUUAUCUUUAUCUUUUUCUAUAAGUUGUACCAAGACAUCCAUUUAAGUUCUUUCAUGUGUACUAUGUUUUCAAAUAAAGUAAUUUGGUAACC
rnacentral:lncRNA from 1 species